rnacentral:sRNA from 1 species
GCUAGGAAUGGUGGCCCAUGCCUGUAAUCCCAGUGGCUUGGGAGGCUGAGGCAGGAGUAUUGCAAGUACAAAGCCAGCCUCAG